rnacentral:rRNA from 1 species
AGCAGCCGCGGUAAUUCCAGCUCCAAUAGCGUAUAUUAAAGUUGUUGCAGUUAAAAAGCUCGUAGUUGAAUUUCGGGAUCAAUAUGUCGGUCGUGCCUCGGUACGUACUGGCAUCAUUGGUUUCUCCCUUCUGAUGAACCAUGAUGCCAUUAAUUUGGUGUCGUGGGGAAUCAGGACUGUUACUUUGAAAAAUUAGAGUGUUUAAAGCAGGCUCACGCUUGAAUACAUUAGCAUGGAAUAAUGAAAUAGGACGUUUGAUUCUAUUUUGUUGGUUUCUAGGAUCGACGUAAUGAUUAAUAGGGAUAGUUGGGGGCAUUAGUAUUCAAUUGUCAGAGGUGAAAUUCUUGGAUUUAUUGAAGACUAACUACUGCGAAAGCAUUUGCCAAGGAUGUUUUCAUUAAUC